AUGCCGAGAAGCAGCGUGGGUUCCGCCCCGGACGACGCAAUGCUGGGUAGAUACCCCGUGGAUGACAUCACGGAGAACACUAGCUACGAGCUACACGUCAAAAUGAAGAACAUAUCCAUGAAGGUGGCGGACGCCGUUGCUUUUACAAAUCCCCCCGAGGCAACCUUCCAUUGCAACCCGAUUCCAGCGGGCUAUGCUCGUGUCUUGGUUGAUGAGGUGGUGGACCCAUAUUCGGAGCUAGAGCUUGACUAUCAUGGAGGUGACGACGAGCGCUUUCUCGGAGACGACAAACAUCGUAUCAUCCUAUGGAAAAAGGAUUGCAUCAUCUUUCAAAGGCCACCGACACCGCGUCAGCCGACUCCUCAUCGAAGUCCACCACCGAGUCAGCAGUCUCCCGCUCCUGCAAGUCCACCAAGUCCGGCAAAGUGUCAGGCCACUCCUCCUCCAAGUCCGGCAAAGUGUCAGGCCACUCCUCCUCCUCCAAGUCCGCCACAACGUCAGACAUCCACUCCUCCUCCAAGUCUGGCACAACCUCAGGCCACUCCUCCUCCAAGUCCGGCGCAGCUUCAGGCGGCCACUCCUCCUCGUCCAACUCAGCCCCGUCAGCCGUCUCCGCCGCCUCAGCAAUCACAGAAGAGACACCCCGCAGCUAUGGUGCGUAGCGGCACGAGUCGAGGUAGUACAGGAAGUACAGGCGGAGGCAAGCGAUAUAAAUAUGGUCCAAGCCUCACGCCUCUUCCGCAGAGGGAUUAUGACAGGUCCGAGGAGGAAAUCGCAGCCAUAUCGAAGUCCGAGGUGGAAGCCCAUUUUGCACCGAAACCGCCAACGCCGCCAAGGGAGAAAGUGCCUGAGGAAACGAUUGACCACUUCAUUCGUAUGGCUCAACCACCAGCUCCCAAGCCUGUUGACACAGACUAUGAGCGCCACAUCAGGAAGUUAAAUCGAGAACGUCUACGUAAGGAGGCGAGCUCGGGAUCGAGCAAACAAGAAGCAGCUGUCAAAAAUGCGGGAAAACCAUUCCCCAUCUGGGAGAACAGGCGACGCAAUCGAUCCCCUCGCUUGUUGUGCCAACAACACGUGACAGUACGCGCGCCCAAUAUUAUUGUGGGCAAACAGUUUACGUUCCUGAGGUGGGCAAUGUGGUAA
rnacentral:rRNA from 1 species